AACGAACGCCGGCGGCAGGCCUAACACAUGCAAGUCGAGCGAGGACUUCGGUCCUAGCGGCGGACGGGUGAGUAACGCGUGGGAACGUGCCCUUUGCUUCGGAAUAGCCCUGGGAAACUGGGAGUAAUACCGGAUGAGCCCUUUGGGGAAAGAUUUAUCGGCGAAGGAUCGGCCCGCGUUGGAUUAGGUAGUUGGUGGGGUAAUGGCCUACCAAGCCGACGAUCCAUAGCUGGUUUGAGAGGAUGAUCAGCCACACUGGGACUGAGACACGGCCCAGACUCCUACGGGAGGCAGCAGUGGGGAAUCUUAGACAAUGGGGGAAACCCUGAUCUAGCCAUGCCGCGUGAGCGAUGAAGGCCUUAGGGUUGUAAAGCUCUUUCAGCUGGGAAGAUAAUGACGGUACCAGCAGAAGAAGCCCCGGCUAACUCCGUG
rnacentral:rRNA from 1 species